GGCACACUUGAUGAACACUAAGGGACUUAAUGCUGAAUAUAUUUGAUGUCUCUACUUAUUUGUUCUGAUGUGC
rnacentral:snoRNA from 1 species